CCCGUAGCACAGGUGCUGCAUGGCCGUCGUCAGCUCGUGCCGUGAGGUGUUGGGUUAAGUCCCGCAACGAGCGCAACCCCGCCGUUAGUUGCCAGCGGUUCGGCCGGGCACUCUAACGGGACUGCCCGCGAAAGCGGGAGGAAGGAGGGGACGACGUCUGGUCAGCAGGGCCCUUACGGCCUGGGCGACACACGUGCUACAAUGCCCACUACAAAGCGAGGCCACCCGGCAACGGGGAGCUAAUCGCAAAAAAGGUGGGCCCAGUUCGGAUUGGGGUCUGCAACCCGACCCCAUGAAGCCGGAAUCGCUAGUAAUCGCGGAUCAGCCAUGCCGCGGUGAAUACGUUCCCGGGCCUU
rnacentral:rRNA from 1 species